CGCGGCCUAUCAGCUUGUUGGUGGGGUAAUGGCCUACCAAGGCGACGACGGGUAGCCGGCCUGAGAGGGUGACCGGCCACACUGGGACUGAGACACGGCCCAGACUCCUACGGGAGGCAGCAGUGGGGAAUAUUGCACAAUGGGCGCAAGCCUGAUGCAGCGACGCCGCGUGAGGGAUGACGGCCUUCGGGUUGUAAACCUCUUUCAGCAGGGAAGAAGCCACAAGUGACGGUACCUGCAGAAGAAGCGCCGGCUAGCUACGUGCCAGCAGCCGCGGUAAUACGUAGGGCGCAAGCGUUGUCCGGAAUUAUUGGGCGUAAAGAGCUCGUAGGCGGUUUGUCGCGUCUGCUGUGAAAGCCCGGGGCUCAACCCCGGGUCUGCAGUGGGUACGGGCAGACUAGAGUGCAGUAGGGGAGACUGGAAUUCCUGGUGUAGCGGUGAAAUGCGCAGAUAUCAGGAGGAACACCGAUGGCGAAGGCAGGUCUCUGGGCUGUUACUGACGCUGAGGAGCGAAAGCAUGGGGAGCGAACAGGAUUAGAUACCCUGGUAGUCCAUGCCGUAAACGUUGGGCACUAGGUGUGGGGGACAUUCCACGUUUUCCGCGCCGUAGCUAACGCAUUAAGUGCCCCGCCUGGGGAGUACGG
rnacentral:rRNA from 1 species